rnacentral:lncRNA from 1 species
UAGAAAAUGGAUAGAACUAAAACCUGUUCUAGAACAAUACGAGCUAUGUCCCAGGGUGUAGAUGCUGUUCCUUCUGAAGUGGGAAGAGUGUUCUUUCUGUGUCACAAGUCAGUGUGGCCUGUCUGCAUCCCUACCUUAUUGUUAUUACAAAGGCAGCCUUGUCAUAGAACUCCAGGUACCUCUGGGACUUAGAUCUGUCUGGGGUCUGAGCCACCACGCUAGGUGCUAAUUUCCACAAAGUUGCAAUCAAAUUAAAAGUUAUAUCUGACUCUGAAGCGAGGGGCCACUUGGGACCAGAAAUGGCUUGCCUUUUAUUUUCCAUUCCCAGUAUUGUGUAAUGAACACAGCAUAUGGCACAUUUUAAUUUCAGCAAAUAUUAAUUUUUAAUGGGAAGUAUACACCUGGCUUUGUAUUGUUCCAAAAUUAUCACAAAGGCCAGAAGUUUUUUUAUGUGAUUUUGAUGCAAUUGUAAUUAAAGUGAAGAAACCAAUACACAUAUUUUGAUAGAAAGUGUGUCACCCAGGUUGCCCUUAAACUCAAGAUUCUCUGAAUGCUAGAAACUCAGGUGGGCCACUGCACCCAGCAAGUAGUAAAUACUCCUCUCUAGUGACUGGGAUACUCAUCUGCAAAGACACCCAUGGGUACAGAUUCUCUGUGAAGCAUGUUGCAUCUUCAAUGCAGUAAAUUUUCAGAGUCUAGGCUGUUCUUUAGCAUCUGCUGGUAAUUUGGCCCUCUGAGAAAAAUUACAAUAUAGCUACCAAGACUGAAAGUUAAUAUGCACCAAGUAAAGGUGAAAUUCUAUUGUAUUAUUAUCUGGCAAUAAAAAAAAAUCAAUAUUUGGUGAUUGCCUCAGUGCUUUUAUGUAUCUAACAAUGACCUUAAAGUUCUGGUUUUCCCUUUCUGCCUCCUAUGUGUUAGGCUUACAAGUGUGUACUAUCACAUCAAGUUUUGUGUGACACUGGGAAAUGAAAACCAAGCAUCAUUCUUGUUAGGAAAGCACUCCAUUAAAGUAGCUGCAUCCUUAUUCCUUGUCCUCUAUUUAGUGCAUGAUAUUUGUAUUCAUUCCAUUUGUCUGCCCUUGUGGGGAACUUAGGAAGGCGAGAGAGAGAGAGAGAGAGAGAGAGAGAGAGAGAGAGAGAGAGAGAGAGAGAGAGAGAGAGAGAAAGAUAUAGAGAGCACAGAGAUGACACAGGGACAGUGAAAGACAGACGUGUGUGCGCGUGCGCACACACACACACACACAGAGAGAGAGAGAGAGAGAGAGAGAGAGAAACAACAAAAUAAGUAUAGAAAUCACACAAGGUAUCACUUCUCAGCUACUUGUAAACACAACUCAUUUUUUAAUGUUUUUAUUACAGAGGCGUCCAUAUUCUAUUUGUAAUUCAUUUCCCUGAGGGAACUUUAGACCUCACAGGUCUGUUUGCAAUUCCUAUCAGAUUGGAGAGUUGCAGAAAGAACAGAAUAAUGGAAAUUCACAAGUUGCUCAAUCUUAACACACACACACACACACACACACACACACACACACACACACAGAGUCUAGUUUCUUGGCCUCACAGUUUCUUACAUCUGUAGACCUUGGUGUUUUUAAUCUCAUACAUUUGGUUGGAACUUGAUAUUCAUAACUGGCAGAUAUGAUAAAAAUUUAAAUCAGAAAUUGAUGAUGAUAAUGAGCAAGAACAGAUGCAAGUAUGUAGUUUACACUUUAUAACUGAGUCUUCCAGUUUCAUUUUGGCUCUUUGUACUGGGACUAGUCUUUGGAGGCAGUGUUCAAGGCUGACUCCCAUUCAUGCUGAAAAGAAUCCCCUGGAGCUCUCCAGCAUAUCUGAGAAUGAAAAAAUAGAACAAAUAGUUUAGAAUUUAUAUAAAUAUGUAUUUAUACUCCAUGUGGGAAUUCAUAAUGGGUGGGACAAAUCUUGUCACAUCAAUCUAAGCGGAGCAUCAAAUAGUUUGAAAGGAGGAACUAGGAUCGAUAAAAUGUCUUCUGGAUUCUUAGCAUAAAUGGACAUAGAGAGUUGCUUGAGUGUCACAUGACAAAGAUCCAGCUACCUAAUGGGUGAUAGCAUUUCCAUCUCAAUAUGUAUUGAUACUGUCUUGGAAAGUUUUUCCAACAUAUUUAGUUUACAGAGUAGUAAAUAUAGGCUACAG